rnacentral:rRNA from 1 species
UGGGGAAUUUUGGACAAUGGGCGAAAGCCUGAUCCAGCAAUGCCGCGUGAGUGAAGAAGGCCUUCGGGUUGUAAAGCUCUUUUGUCAGGGAAGAAACGGUGAGAGCUAAUAUCUCUUGCUAAUGACGGUACCUGAAGAAUAAGCACCGGCUAACUACGUGCCAGCAGCCGCGGUAAUACGUAGGGUGCAAGCGUUAAUCGGAAUUACUGGGCGUAAAGCGUGCGCAGGCGGUUUUGUAAGUCUGAUGUGAAAUCCCCGGGCUCAACCUGGGACCUGCAUUUGUGACUGUAUAGCUAGAGUACGGUAGAGGGGGAUGGAAUUCCGCGUGGAGCAGUGAAAUGCGUAGAUAUGUGGAGGAACACCGAUGGCGAAGGCAGCCCCCUGGGUCAAGAUUGACGCUCAUGCACGAAAGCGUGGGGAGCAAACA